CUGUGCAGGGUGGAGAAGCAGGGCACGUGAGCGACCAUCCAAUCUCGAUCGCUGCGCCGCGACGCCGAGCCGUGCGUCCGGCUUCGGUUGGGUGGUCGUUCAUGUGCCCCUCCUCUCCACCCAGCACCG
rnacentral:pre_miRNA from 1 species